UAGGGAAUCUUCGGCAAUGGACGGAAGUCUGACCGAGCAACGCCGCGUGAGUGAAGAAGGUUUUCGGAUCGUAAAGCUCUGUUGUAAGAGAAGAACGAGUGUGAGAGUGGAAAGUUCACACUGUGACGGUAUCUUACCAGAAAGGGACGGCUAACUACGUGCCAGCAGCCGCGGUAAUACGUAGGUCCCGAGCGUUGUCCGGAUUUAUUGGGCGUAAAGCGAGCGCAGGCGGUUAGAUAAGUCUGAAGUUAAAGGCUGUGGCUUAACCAUAGUACGCUUUGGAAACUGUUUAACUUGAGUGCAAGAGGGGAGAGUGGAAUUCCAUGUGUAGCGGUGAAAUGCGUAGAUAUAUGGAGGAACACCGGUGGCGAAAGCGGCUCUCUGGUCUGUAACUGACGCUGAGGCUCGAAAGCGUGGGGAGCAAACAGGAUUAGAUACCCUGGUAGUCCACGCCGUAAACGAUGAGUGCUAGGUGUUGGGUCCUUUCCGGGACUCAGUGCCGCAGCUAACGCAUUAAGCACUCCGCCUGGGGAGUACGACCGCAAGGUUG
rnacentral:rRNA from 1 species